UCGGUGCGUAAACUCCUUUUAUAUGAGAAGAUAAUGACGGUAUUAUAUGAAUAAGCACCGGCUAACUCCGUGCCAGCAGCCGCGGUAAUACGGGGGGUGCAAGCGUUACUCGGAAUCACUGGGCGUAAAGAGCAUGUAGGCGGAUUAAUAAGUUUGAAGUGAAAUCCUAUAGCUUAACUAUAGAACUGCUUUGAAAACUGUUAAUCUAGAAUGUGGGAGAGGUAGAUGGAAUUUCUGGUGUAGGGGUAAAAUCCGUAGAGAUCAGAAGGAAUACCGAUUGCGAAGGCGAUCUACUGGAACAUUAUUGACGCUGAGAUGCGAAAGCGUGGGGAGCAAACAGGAUUAGAUACCCUGGUAGUCCACGCCCUAAACGAUGUACACUAGUUGUUGUGAGACUUGAUCUUGCAGUAAUGCAGUUAACACAUUAAGUGUACCGCCU
rnacentral:rRNA from 1 species